rnacentral:rRNA from 1 species
CUUGGGCGGUUCGCUGCUUGUGACGUCGCGAGAAGUCCACUGAACCUUAUCAUUUAGAGGAAGGAGAAGUCGUAACAGAGGUUUCCGUAGGUGAACCUGCGGAAGGAUCAUUGUCGAAGCCUGCGCAGCAGAACGACCCGCGAACUCGUGAUUACGCUCGCGGGGGCCUGGUGCAGGUCGCUCGAGCUCCUCGAGCCAGAGCGGCCCGAGCCCGGCGCCCGCCCGUCGCGGUGUGCGAGCACUGUCUCGCUCCUCGUGGCAAAACAACAAAACCCCGGCGCGAGUUGCGCCAAGGAAAAUCCAACGAGAGAGAGCGCUGCUCCCGCCGCCCCCGACGCGGUGUGCGUGCGGAGUGCGUUGCCUUCUUUCAACGAAAAUCCAAUACGACUCUCGGCAACGGAUAUCUCGGCUCUCGCAUCGAUGAAGAACGUAGCGAAAUGCGAUACUUGGUGUGAAUUGCAGAAUCCCGUGAACCAUCGAGUCUUUGAACGCAAGUUGCGCCCCAAGCCGUUAGGCUGAGGGCACGUCUGCCUGGGUGUCACGCAUCGUUGCCCCCCAAACCCCUUCCCAGGGGAUCGUUGGGCGGCGGAAACUGGCCUCCCGUGCGCUGCAAGCUCGCGGUUGGCCCAAAUUCGAGCCCCUGGGCGACCGGGCCGCGACGAUCGGUGGUGAAAUGAGCCUCUCGAACUCGCGUCGCGUGCUCGCGUCCUCUGUUGUGGGCUCGCGGACCCUUCGAGCGCCUUCUAUCUCUGGCGCUGCUACCUUCGCGACCCCAGGUCAGGCGGGACUACCCGCUGAGUUUAAGCAUAUCAAUAAGCGGAGGAAAAGAACUUACCA